GAAUUCAUUUAUGUAGAUUUUUUUCUACAAAUAGUA
rnacentral:tRNA from 1 species